rnacentral:lncRNA from 1 species
AGUUAUGCAUGCUAUUUUCAUCUGCAUACUACUAACCACUGGACCAAGAGAAACUCUAACACUCAGAAAGUAAGAGACUUCACCAAAUGCAUAUAUUCCUUUUUUGAUCGAAAUAAAAAAUACACUACACAACUUGAAGAUGUCAGAGUUUUUCAUAACUUGGGUGAAGGGAAUCAGCUAAGAACAACACAUUAUACAUAGU